ACGUAGGAGGCAAGCGUUGUCCGGAUUUACUGGGCGUAAAGCGCGCGCAGGCGGCACUCUAAGUACGGUGUGAAAUCUCCCUGCUCAACGGGGAGGGUGCACUGUAAACUGGAGAGCUAGAGGACGGUAGAGGGGGGUGGAAUUCCGGGUGUAGCGGUGGAAUGCGUAGAGAUCCGGAGGAAGACCGGUGGCGAAGGCGGUCUGCUGGGCAGUUUCUGACACUGAGGCGCGACAGCGUGGGGAGCAAACAGGA
rnacentral:rRNA from 1 species